UACGUAGGGGGCUAGCGUUGUCCGGAAUCAUUGGGCGUAAAGAGCGUGUAGGCGGCUUGGUAAGUCCGCUGUGAAAGUCCAGGGCUCAACCCUGGAAUGCCAGUGGAUACUGUCAAGCUAGAGUCCGGAAGAGGAAAGCGGAAUUCCUGGUGUAGAGGUGAAAUUCGUAGAUAUCAGGAGGAACACCGGUGGCGAAGGCGGCUUUCUGGACAGUAACUGACGCUGAGACGCGAAAGCGUGGGGAGCAAACAGG
rnacentral:rRNA from 1 species